UACGAAGGGGGCUAGCGUUGCUCGGAAUCACUGGGCGUAAAGCGCGCGUAGGCGGCUCGUUAAGUCGGGGGUGAAAUCCUGGAGCUCAACUCCAGAACUGCCUUUGAUACUGGCGAUCUUGAGUCCGGGAGAGGUGAGUGGAACUCCGAGUGUAGAGGUGAAAUUCGUAGAUAUUCGGAAGAACACCAGUGGCGAAGGCGGCUCACUGGCCCGAUACUGACGCUGAGGUGCGAAAGCGUGGGGAGCAAACAGG
rnacentral:rRNA from 1 species